ensembl:misc_RNA Metazoa_SRP Metazoan signal recognition particle RNA
GCUGGGCGUGGUGGCGGAUGCCUGUAAUCCCAGCUAGUGGGGAGGCUGAGGCAUGAGAAUCGCUUGAACCCAGGAGGUGGAGUUUGCAGUGAGCAGAGAUUGCGCCACUGCACUCCAGCCUGGGUGACAGAGUGAGACUUUGUCUCAA